rnacentral:rRNA from 1 species
CUACGGGGGGCUCCAGUGGGGAAUAUUGGACAAUGGGGGAAACCCUGAUCCAGCAAUGCCGCGUGUGUGAAGAAGGCCUGCGGGUUGUAAAGCACUUUCGGUUGGGAGGACUGCUUCUAGCACUAAUAUUGUUGGAAGUUGACGUUACCUUCAGAAGAAGCACCGGCUAACUCCGUGCCAGCAGCCGCGGGUGAAUACGGAGGGUGCAAGCGCGAAUCGGAAUUACUGGGCGUAAAGCGCGCGUAGGCGGCUAGAGCAGUCGGGUGUGAAAGCCCCGGGCUUAACCUGGCAACUGCAUCCGAUACUGUCUAGCUUGAGUACAGGAGAGGAGAGUGGAAUUCCACAUGUAGCGGUGAAAUGCGUAGAUAUGUGGAGGAACACCAAUGGCGAAGGCAGCUCUCUGGCCUGAUACUGACGCUGAGGUGCGAAAGCGUGGGGAGCAAACAGGAUUAGAUACCCCAGUAGUC